UAUGGAGAAUAUUAUUUAGAAUAUAUUUUAGAUUCUUCGACAUCGAGUUAGAACACCAACUGAUGUAGCAACUGGGGACAACAAGAGGAGAACAGAGAGCGACAAUGUGACAACAACAACAACAACAAUGACAAUGGCAACGACAACAACAAUAAGCUGAGAAAAUAGUCAGGCGUUUUAUUGCAGCAUCACGUCUACCGGAUGCCUGCAAUAUAUCAACUAAGAGGCUGAGUCGAAGUCGGUGUCUGGAAUUGGAAUUGGAAUUGGAAGUGGAGCUAUAUAGAACAACAUGCAACAACAUAGGCAGACCGAGCAAAGCAUGAGAAAACGAACCUCGAGCUGGAUCAGAGGAGAAGCGCAGCGGAUGCGGAAGAGCAUGAAGCCGUCGACUUCAAGUCCAGCAAAUCAACGACAAUCAAAUAAAGUUUAAAUACAUAUUUUUAUUUCAUUACACACUUCAGUCAGAGCGGCUCGAGACGUGGGAGACGAGAGCUUUACUCCAUCCAUUGUUAAGAGAUUUUCAACAGGCAAUGAUAAUGAUGAUGACGAUGACGAUGACGAUGUCGGUGACGGUGACGGUGACGAUGAUAAUAAUGAUGAUAAGAAUGAGGCGACCAUGUCUCGAGUCUAUGGCCGUGCCAAGUGCUAACGAUUUGGCAAUGGACACAAAGAUGUCUGUCGCGCGAAAAAAAAGUUGAAAAAAAAACGCAACUAAAAAGCUAAAAAGUCCCUAGCAACAAAGCAACGAGGCAUCGAGACAGUGUUGCCUUAGUUGCAGAAACUAGGGAUGAGCGAUCGUCGUGAUCGCGAUGCAGAGCGUGAGUGACGAAAAUUAAAGAGGAGACUAAAGUGAAGAAAUAAACCACAUUAAAGGAUG